rnacentral:rRNA from 1 species
AACUCGGCAAAAUGACCCCGUAACUUAGGGAUAAGGGGUGCCACCAUCAGGUGGCCGCAGAGAAUAGGCCCAAGCGACUGUUUACCAAAAACAUAGGUUUCUGCUAAGUCGCAAGACGAUGUAUAGGAGCUGACGCCUGCCCGGUGCUGGAAGGUUAAGGGGAUCUGUUAGAGCAAUCGAAGCAGUGAACUUAAGCCCCAGUAAACGGCGGCCGUAACUAUAACGGUCCUAAGGUAGCGAAAUUCCUUGUCGGGUAAGUUCCGACCCGCACGAAAGGCGUAACGAUUUGGGCACUGUCUCAACAACAGACUCGGUGAAAUUGUAAUUCCGGUGAAGAUGCCGGAUACCUGCGACAGGACGGAAAGACCCCAUGGAGCUUUACUGUAGCUUGACAUUGGGUCUUGGUACUACAUGUACAGGAUAGGUGGGUGGCUUUGAAACCAGGACGCCAGUUUUGGCGGAGCCAUCCUUGGGAUACCACCCUUGUAGUACUGGGACUCUAACCAGAGG